rnacentral:rRNA from 1 species
UACGUAGGGCGCAAGCGUUGUCCGGAAUUACUGGGCGUAAAGAGCUCGUAGGUGGUUUGUCGCGUUGUCCGUGAAAACUCACAACUCAAUUGUGGGCGUGCGGGCGAUACGGGCAGACUGGAGUACUGCAGGGGAGACUGGAAUUCCUGGUGUAGCGGUGGAAUGCGCAGAGUAUCAGGAGGAACACCGGUGGCGAAGGCGGGU